rnacentral:rRNA from 1 species
GACGAACGCUGGCGGCGUGCUUAACACAUGCAAGUCGAACGGAAAGGCCCUGCUUUUGUGGGGUGCUCGAGUGGCGAACGGGUGAGUAACACGUGAGUAACCUGCCCUUGACUUUGGGAUAACUUCAGGAAACUGGGGCUAAUACCGGAUAGGAGCUCCUGCUGCAUGGUGGGGGUUGGAAAGUUUCGGCGGUUGGGGAUGGACUCGCGGCUUAUCAGCUUGUUGGUGGGGUAGUGGCUUACCAAGGCUUUGACGGGUAGCCGGCCUGAGAGGGUGACCGGCGACAUUGGGACUGAGAUACGGACCAGACUGCUACGGGAGGCAGCAGUGGGAAGUAUUGCACAGUGGGCGGAAGCCUGAUGCAGAGGCGCCGCGUGCGGAAUGACGGCCUUCGGGUUGUAAACCGCUUUCGCCUGUGACGAAGCGUGAGUGACGGUAAUGGGUAAAGAAGCACCGGCUAACUACGUG